CCCGUAAGCCUGCUAAUCCAGCACAAGAUGCAAUAACGAUGACAUAACAAUCUAAGCAACACAACGACUUAAAUAGUUAUCCAGAGCCUAGGCGGCGCCGGAAGGUCGUACAUUAUCCAUAAUCCAAAUGAUUGUCCACGAGUAAAGUUAACGACUUAACAACAAACGAGAAAACCUAACAGCUGCUGCAUGUGGACAUACCGAUAAUGUUUCCGCAUGUGCCGUACCAGGUGGUGGCGGUGCAGACGUAUGAGGUCUGGUGAGCGCCACUGCCUGCCCAUGUCCUUCCUCUGCCCCGUUGAAACAGUCAUAUAGGUCCAUGGGUACAAUCUUAUGGGGCCAUAUGUUGGUGCUCAACAGCCCGGAAAAUGAGGGACAAGGGACGCCAUGACGACGCUGAAUAUUGCCCAAGGAUGCCUUCCGCGCUGAAACUAGGGACGCAACAGUUUGCCGUCGCCAAAAGCAAAGCAGGUCAUCGAAUAGGUUGGCGCUCAAAAGGUUGGCGCUCUCUCCCCGUCCAGGGCAGUGCUGGCACCGAUAUUUAGGAUCGUGGCGUCAACCGCAGGCCUAGCCAAACAGGCACCGAAACCUGCCAAGCUGCAUCUGCCAAGCUGCACAGCUCUCAAACACACCUUCACCUGUGUAAUUAAACUUCCCGCACUAACAGCAAAAACCCUUACCAUAGUACCUAUUGUACCUUGCUCGAGCUUCCUUGCCCUGAACAAGCUAUCUUCCCGAAGCCAAGCGCGAUCCCAGGUGAUGUCGUCCAACAGCCAUGCGCUCGAUCCACGUGGGCCGCUAUUACGGCGAGUUCGCCCGCGCUUGACAUGGCCAGGCGCUUUCAGAGAAGAGUGCACGAUCUGUACUCCACUUCAGAGUUCUAAUGUGCUUCAUGCCCUGCACAUUGCAGCGGACAGGCGCCGGACACGCAGUCCGACCAGGAAAGAACUGCAUUGGCGUAAGGGAGCACAUUGUAGAGAACUUUGUGGAUCAUGGAGGAUUUAAGGCGCCAUUUUAUCGACAUGUAUUAUGGAAUGGUGUUUCAGCUGCAUUUUGACCUCCGUUGCCUUAUUGCUCUUUCCGUUAGUAAGCGACCUCC
rnacentral:lncRNA from 1 species